rnacentral:rRNA from 1 species
UACAGAGGGUGCGAGCGUUAAUCGGAAUUACUGGGCGUAAAGCGCACGCAGAUGGCUUUGUAAGUCGGAUGUGAAAUCCCCGGGCUCAACCUGGGAACUGCAUUCGAAACUGCAUGGCUCGAAUGUGGAAGAGGGAAGCGGAAUUCCAGGUGUAGCGGUGAAAUGCGUAGAUAUCUGGAGGAACAUCAGUGGCGAAGGCGGCUUCCUGGUCCAACAUUGACAUUCAGGUGCGAAAGCGUGGGGAGCAAACAGG